UAAUGUAGUUAAUUUUCAGCAUGGCGGAGUGAUACACGAGUGUUUGGCCGCGGUUUUCUUGUUCAAGUUUGAGGAAGACAUUUAUGCUGAGUAAAUUGUUCUUUCUGUGCUUUGCCUUCAAACCGACAUUAGGCACCAGUAGUGUGCAUCAGUGUUCACCACAAGAUUACAGUAACGUUACCUCCCUAAGUGAAACUGUCAAGCGUAAUGGCGCGUCUCGACAGAAGGAAACGGGUUUGCUAGCUGCAUGUUGCUGGUCUUAUUUCCCUCUGUUUUCUUCAGGUUGUUAACAUGCUAAGUGCUGGUUAGCAUCCAUUCCAGACAGAACUUCACCAGAUCUAUGACGCAGAGGGGACGUUACAGCACUUUAUUGAUGGUAAUGAUCCCAGUAAGUCGAGCUGGAUGAGGUAUAUCCGCUGUGCCAGACACUGUGGGGAGCAGAACAUGAUGGUUGUACAGUACAGGUAAGAACAAGUCUUAAUUCUUUGACCCACAUUUGGUGGAUGCUUGUCAUCCAAAACUGCCCUCUAUUGUACCAGGAGUUUGUGAAAGCACUGUAUACCAAUACCCUAUAAUACUAAAAUACCAUGAAACACAUUUUUAAGUUAAGUUAAUUUUAGUAGGCUCCACUUGGAACAUUUGGUCUCACCACUGGGGACCCUCAGAUGACUGAAAGGAGGGGAUUAAGGACAAGAAUAGGGGUGAUUGACUGUGCUA